UAACUUGAAAACUGCGACUUCGUGACAUCACAAGGUGGAACGGAGCAUUUUGAGCUUUGGAGAUGUAGACAGACUAAUGAAGGAUUACUCAAACAUGUGUGAAUGAAACAAAACACAACUCCUGGUAUGUUUGUGAUGAAGAAACAUAACGAUUGUAAACAUUUCGCUAACUUAAAGCUGAGGUACUUGAUCUUCAAAUCGUGAAAAAAGGAAGUACGUUUUUAAAUCUAUCCCCGCUCUCACAAACCAUUUGGCAACAGUUCAAAUGUUUUAUAAUUAUGACAGAAUGUAGCAGUCUGAUUUUUGUAACACAAUUCUGCUUCUACAAUACACUUUCUGAGGUGGAAAAACUAAAUUUCUAAACAGAAAAAGUUUGGUAGUUCAGCUGUAACCAUAGCAAACUGAUUGUCUUGUCAUGUUAUGUGUCAUGUUAUGUGUUUGUCAGUCGGCUGUGAACAAGUAUUACAUAAUUUUGUAAUGAGAAAUCACUGUUCACUGUCCCAAUAAACAUGGCGUCUGGGA